AUUACUCAGUACAAAAACAAACAUAAGGGCUCAUUCUAAGCCAUUUAUAGCUGAAUAUGCUUUCGUCUUGUCUUAGCCUUGUUUGCUGCUCUUUCAUUUCAUUCUUUGUCAUUUAUGUGAAAUUAUUGUACCGCAACUAAACAAUUUUGCAUUAUGGAUUUAAAUUUUUUAUCUGUUGAACAGCAAACAUAAACGAAAAUAAGUAAUAAACUCAUUAUUUUCAUUAAUUUUACAAAGUAAACAAUUUGUUUGCAUUUGCGCGAGCAUAUUCACGCAGCGCUGUCUCGCGAGUGCAGUGCACGUUUUUGAAUUCCAACGGUCGAGAAGAGACUGAUCCCCGUCUGCUGAUUUAAAUUGAUGGUCUGACGGAAAUAUUGUUGUGCGGAUUUACACUAAAACACGAAAGAGCCUGAACCGCGACAGUGUCACAAGUUGCCUUACAUCGCUGCUGCAUGAAGUGAAGAUGCAGUUUGGGAAGGACCUUCAUCUUAAUCUAGAGACUGCUCUUAAAUGUGGCUAGACAUGGAAGUCAGAGGGAUGUGCUGAACAGUUUACUUCAGCAAAUUGACACAAACACAAAAAAUUUGGAGAAAAAUGCCGCACUGCUAAUCUUACCAUCUUUAUUCAGAGAAAACAGCAAGUUUCUCUUCUGUCUGGACAAUGAAUCAGUAAAGCCAACUCCGACUAUAGUUUUUCAUGAAGCUUCAAACCCCCUCCAUGCAAAAAGAGCCAGCAUCAAUAUGGAGGGUGUCAACAUUGUGAGCGCAGAAAUGGAUGUGAUGGAGGCAAUGGAGUGCCUCUUUGCUAUUUCGUAUUCAGUGUGGAAUACCCCAAGCACAUCACUCACAUGAUGAAUUUUGUUGAGCACUACCUGUUUAAACUCUCCAGCAGCCAAAAAAAAAAAAAAACUGUCUGUCGCAGUGCUCAAAAUGUAUAAUCAAUUAUCAUAAUACUUAGAUAUGUCAUGAAUAGUGCUAAUGUAAAUUUGUAAAUAUGAGGCGAUUGGUGUUAUUCUGAAAUGCUGAUCUGAAUUUGAAUCUGUAAUUACAAUUCUUUAUGAGUGAUAUUAAUGUAAAUUUGUAGAUUUGAAGUACUUGAUGUUCUGAAAUGCUGAUCUGAAUUUUAAUCUAUGUAUUCACAUUCUUUAUGAGUGAUAUUAAUAUGAAUUUGUAGAUUUGAAAGUACUUCUAUAUCUGUAUAUUUCCAUUGUGAGUUAUAUUAAUAUGGAUUUGUAGUUUUGAGGGACUUGAUGUUGUUCUAACACUGAUGGGAAUUUAGAUGAAUCUGUAUAUUUGCAUUAUUUAUUAGUGAUAGAUUAAUGUAAUUUUUACAUUUUAUGGACUUACUUUGUAAUAUGUAGAUGUAGGUGAAACUAUUUUCAUUAUUUCUUGAGAUAUUUUUUAAAUGGUUGAUGUUUUAGUGUUGAUUUGUACAUUUAAAGCCUUGAAUACUUGAAAUUACAGUAGCAUUCUUUCAGUAAUAGUAAUUAUUUUGUUAAUAUAAAUAAAUUACUGAUUCUAUGUACUUUGGGUGUGCUUUUUUCAGUAUUCAUGGGUGACUUUUUUAUGUGAAUUACACUUUUACAUUUUAGGGUCUUGAUGUUUGUCAAUAAUAUGAAAUAUUUAAUCUGGAAAGGACAAAACAAAUGAUAAUGAAUGAACCCCUAAAAGGUUCCAUAUAGAACCUUUUUCCUGGUUACAAAGAACCCUAAAGGGUUCUUUUGAUUGAACCCUUAAAAAGGGUU